GAUGAACGCUGGCGGCGUGCCUAAUACAUGCAAGUAGAACGCUGAAGGAGGAGCUUGCUCUUUCCGGAUGAGUUGCGAACGGGUGAGUAACGCGUAGGUAACCUGCCUGGUAGCGGGGGAUAACUAUUGGAAACGAUAGCUAAUACCGCAUAACAGUAGAUAUUGCAUGAUAUUUGCUUGAAAGGGGCAAUUGCUCCACUACCAGAUGGACCUGCGUUGUAUUAGCUAGUUGGUGAGGUAACGGCUCACCAAGGCGACGAUACAUAGCCGACCUGAGAGGGUGAUCGGCCACACUGGGACUGAGACACGGCCCAGACUCCUACGGGAGGCAGCAGUAGGGAAUCUUCGGCAAAGGACGGAAGUCUGACCGAGCAACGCCGCGUGAGUGAAGAAGGUUUUCGGAUCGUAAAGCUCUGUUGUAAGAGAAGAACGAGUGUGAGAGUGGAAAGUUCACACUGUGACGGUAUCUUACCAGAAAGGGACGGCUAACUACGU
rnacentral:rRNA from 1 species